AGGAAUCACCUAAAAUUGAUAAUAGAGGAAUGCAGGUCGAACCUAGAACAAAAGAAGAGGAAGAGGCCAAUGCCAAAGCAGGCGCUCAAUUGGCACCACCUCAGCCACCUUUUAGACCUCAACCUCCUGUAAGACCCCAGCCAAUGUUACAAGGGAAGCCUAUGGUAGCUCAACCACCCGUCAAGAAAUCACCCAUCUUAAAAGAUCUUGGUAUGGCACCAAAACCUCCAGUUUCUCAAGAAGUUGAUUCUAGCAUUAAAAGUAAAGAAAGGAAGCCUAUUUUGGUUGACAAAUUUGCUUCCAAGAAAAAGGCUGUUGAUGCUGUGGCCUCUCAGGCUGUGUUAGCUCCUACGAAGCCUGGAAAGGGUCCUCCCUCUAACAAGUUCAGGGUUGAGCACCGUAAUAAAAAAAAUGCAUCAGCUAGCCCAAGACGAAGAAUUGUUGCUGAAGAUGACGGAGAUGAAGAUACAUCCAUUUCUAGAUCAGGUAGAAAAGGGAGAAAAUGGAGUAAAGCGAGUAGGAAGGCUGUAAGACUCCAGGCUGCAAAAGACGCUGCACCUGUCAAAGCUGAAAUCUUAGAGGUAGAGGAAGAAGGCAUGUCCAUCGAGGAUUUGGCUUACAACCUAGCCAUCGGCGAAGGUGACAUCCUCGGGUAUCUAUAUUCAAAAGGGAUUAGACCUGAUGGUGUGCAGACCUUGGAUCGAGAGAUGGUGAAGAUGAUUUGUAGAGAUUACGAUGUUGAGGUCCUUGAUGCUGAUUCAGUUAAAGUAGAAGAGAUGGCAAAGAAACGGC
rnacentral:lncRNA from 1 species